GACGGGGGGGGCAAGUGUUCUUCGGAAUGACUGGGCGUAAAGGGCACGUAGGCGGUGAAUCGGGUUGAAAGUGAAAGUCGCCGCAAAAAGUGGCGGAAUGCUCUCGAAACCAAUUCGCUUGAGUGAGACAGAGGAGAGUGGAAUUUCGUGUGUAGGGGUGAAAUCCGUAAAUAUACGAAGGAACGCCAAAAGCGAAGGCAGCUCUCUGGGUCCCUACCGACGCUGGGGUGCGAAAGCAUGGGAGCGAACAGG
rnacentral:rRNA from 1 species